CACCAGGUGAAUGUAGGUACACAACUUCCAAGUGAAAGACGCACGAGUGCAAUUCUGAAGCUGAUUUUCAGGCAUGGAGAGAAGAAAUGCAGGAUGCAGCCAAGAGUCAUUUUACUAAAGGCACAGGGAGAAGAACGUCAAAGGAAAAAGGUCCAUAAAAUCAUAAGGUUCCGUCAGGCAUGGGGCAACCUGCAUUGAUGAUUCGUCUGCAUUGUUCCAGACUGGCAAGGUUCCAGGACACAACGGGACAUUCCUAAGGGACCCCCUACCAUCUCGCUCAUGAUCAGAGCUGACAAUUAAGGCAUAAUGGUUUCAAAUUUCCAAAGAUUCUCUAAGAAGUGGCAUGCAUUUCAGAAUUUGUAUGAGUACAACACAACAGCGUGUACAGCCCGAGACAAAAGUUCACGGCACUACGCCUUUCUUCAUCGGAGCGGUCCCCUGCCAGCUACCAGCAAAAGAUCGAAUAA